GCAGGGCAGAGUGGCGCACGCCUGAAAUCCCAGUGGCUUGGGAGGCUGAGGCAGGAGGAUUGUGAGUUCAGAGCCAGCUUUGGCAAUUGAGCAAGGCCCUGAGCAACUCCGUGAGACUCUGUCUCUA
rnacentral:sRNA from 1 species